CCCGUAUUAGACAUUCUCUGGUAAUACUGAGACAAACUGCUUCAAGUUUUUUUUUUUAUAGGACCUGAGGAUAUCAUCGAGGAAACAGUAUGCCUCGCAGCUGUAGGAGAAGACCGCGCCAUGAGUGGACCGCAUUCUCCUCCUUCUCCGCAGUCCUCAUUUUCAAGACAAUGAAAGGGCAGAAAGUGACCCCGAUACAAGAUCAGGAAUAUUCUAUAUGGCAUUACCACUGCUUUUGGUCGGGUCUUUGUUCCUUUCAAGGAUCGCCGUGUAGAUAAAUCCUUGAUGCUGUGGAAAGGUGCUUGUGGUACUGUGCGGCCCAACAGGAAAAGGAUGCCACAUUUCACCUGCAAAAUCAGAAAGGGAGAAGUUGAGUUCAAGAAAAACGGUCAGCAGCUUGCAGUCCAAGUGGCAUGACAAAAGGGAAAGGCAUUUCCACUGGGCAUAAAUCCGCAAUGGCUGUGUCCUGGAUUACAGGAGGAAGAUGGGAGCCGUGGAUAAGAGCGAUAUGCUCAAACGUGCCGUGUGCAAGAAACACC